GGGUUGUGAGGUUAAGCGACUAAGCGUACACGGUGGAUGCCCUGGCAGUCAGAGGCGAUGAAGGACGUGCUAAUCUGCGAUAAGCGCCGGUAAGGUGAUAUGAACCGUUAUAACCGGCGAUUUCCGAAUGGGGAAACCCAGUGUGAUUCGUCACACUAUCAUUAACUGAAUCCAUAGGUUAAUGAGGCGAACCGGGGGAACUGAAACAUCUAAGUACCCCGAGGAAAAGAAAUCAACCGAGAUUCCCCCAGUAGCGGCGAGCGAACGGGGAGGAGCCCAGAGCCUGAAUCAGCAUGUGUGUUAGUGGAAGCGUCUGGAAAGGCGCGCGAUACAGGGUGACAGCCCCGUACACAAAAGCGCAUGUGCUGUGAGCUCGAUGAGUAGGGCGGGACACGUGGUAUCCUGUCUGAAUAUGGGGGGACCAUCCUCCAAGGCUAAAUACUCCUGACUGACCGAUAGUGAACCAGUACCGUGAGGGAAAGGCGAAAAGAACCCCGGCGAGGGGAGUGAAAAAGAACCUGAAACCGUGUACGUACAAGCAGUGGGAGCACAGGUUUACCUGUGUGACUGCGUACCUUUUGUAUAAUGGGUCAGCGACUUAUAUUCUGUAGCAAGGUUAACCGUAUAGGGGAGCCGGAGGGAAACCGAGUCUUAACCGGGCGUUAAGUUGCAGGGUAUAGACCCGAAACCCGGUGAUCUAGCCAUGGGCAGGUUGAAGGUUGGGUAACACUAACUGGAGGACCGAACCGACUAAUGUUGAAAAAUUAGCGGAUGACCUGUGGCUGGGGGUGAAAGGCCAAUCAAACCGGGAGAUAGCUGGUUCUCCCCGAAAGCUAUUUAGGUAGCGCCUCGUGAAUUCAUCUCCGGGGGUAGAGCACUGUUUCGGCUAGGGGGCCAUCCCGGCUUACCAACCCGAUGCAAACUGCGAAUACCGGAGAAUGUUAUCACGGGAGACACACGGCGGGUGCUAACGUCCGUCGUGAAGAGGGAAACAACCCAGACCGCCAGCUAAGGUCCCAAAGUCAUGGUUAAGUGGGAAACGAUGUGGGAAGGCCCAGACAGCCAGGAUGUUGGCUUAGAAGCAGCCAUCAUUUAAAGAAAGCGUAAUAGCUCACUGGUCGAGUCGGCCUGCGCGGAAGAUGUAACGGGGCUAAACCAUGCACCGAAGCUGCGGCAGCGAACGUAUCACCCAAGACAACUUUACGGAGUUGACGAUUGACGGAGCGAAGCGACGUCAAAGCGUUCAUUAAAGUCGAGUUGGCUUAGGGAUACGUUCGUUGGGUAGGGGAGCGUUCUGUAAGCCUGUGAAGGUGUGUCGUGAGGCAUGCUGGAGGUAUCAGAAGUGCGAAUGCUGACAUAAGUAACGAUAAAGCGGGUGAAAAGCCCGCUCGCCGGAAGACCAAGGGUUCCUGUCCAACGUUAAUCGGGGCAGGGUGAGUCGACCCCUAAGGCGAGGCCGAAAGGCGUAGUCGAUGGGAAACGGGUUAAUAUUCCCGUACUUGGUGUUACUGCGAAGGGGGGACGGAGAAGGCUAUGUUGGCCGGGCGACGGUUGUCCCGGUUUAAGCGUGUAGGUGUGUGUUCCAGGUAAAUCCGGUUCACUUUAACACUGAGGCGUGACGACGAGGCACUACGGUGCUGAAGCAACAAAUGCCCUGCUUCCAGGAAAAGCCUCUAAGCAUCAGGUAACAUCAAAUCGUACCCCAAACCGACACAGGUGGUCAGGUAGAGAAUACCAAGGCGCUUGAGAGAACUCGGGUGAAGGAACUAGGCAAAAUGGUGCCGUAACUUCGGGAGAAGGCACGCUGACACGUAGGUGAAGUGAUUUACUCAUGGAGCUGAAGUCAGUCGAAGAUACCAGCUGGCUGCAACUGUUUAUUAAAAACACAGCACUGUGCAAACACGAAAGUGGACGUAUACGGUGUGACGCCUGCCCGGUGCCGGAAGGUUAAUUGAUGGGGUCAGCGCAAGCGAAGCUCCUGAUCGAAGCCCCGGUAAACGGCGGCCGUAACUAUAACGGUCCUAAGGUAGCGAAAUUCCUUGUCGGGUAAGUUCCGACCUGCACGAAUGGCGUAAUGAUGGCCAGGCUGUCUCCACCCGAGACUCAGUGAAAUUGAACUCGCUGUGAAGAUGCAGUGUACCCGCGGCAAGACGGAAAGACCCCGUGAACCUUUACUAUAGCUUGACACUGAACAUUGAGCCUUGAUGUGUAGGAUAGGUGGGAGGCUUUGAAGUGUGGACGCCAGUCUGCAUGGAGCCGACCUUGAAAUACCACCCUUUAAUGUUUGAUGUUCUAACGUGGACCCGUAAUCCGGGUUGCGGACAGUGUCUGGUGGGUAGUUUGACUGGGGCGGUCUCCUCCUAAAGAGUAACGGAGGAGCACGAAGGUUGGCUAAUCCUGGUCGGACAUCAGGAGGUUAGUGCAAUGGCAUAAGCCAGCUUGACUGCGAGCGUGACGGCGCGAGCAGGUGCGAAAGCAGGUCAUAGUGAUCCGGUGGUUCUGAAUGGAAGGGCCAUCGCUCAACGGAUAAAAGGUACUCCGGGGAUAACAGGCUGAUACCGCCCAAGAGUUCAUAUCGACGGCGGUGUUUGGCACCUCGAUGUCGGCUCAUCACAUCCUGGGGCUGAAGUAGGUCCCAAGGGUAUGGCUGUUCGCCAUUUAAAGUGGUACGCGAGCUGGGUUUAGAACGUCGUGAGACAGUUCGGUCCCUAUCUGCCGUGGGCGCUGGAGAACUGAGGGGGGCUGCUCCUAGUACGAGAGGACCGGAGUGGACGCAUCACUGGUGUUCGGGUUGUCAUGCCAAUGGCACUGCCCGGUAGCUAAAUGCGGAAGAGAUAAGUGCUGAAAGCAUCUAAGCACGAAACUUGCCCCGAGAUGAGUUCUCCCUGAGACUUAGAGUCUCCUGAAGGAACGUUGAAGACGACGACGUUGAUAGGCCGGGUGUGUAAGCGCAGCGAUGCGUUGAGCUAACCGGUACUAAUGAACCGUGAGGCUUAACCUUACAACGCCGAAG
rnacentral:rRNA from 2 species